UCUCCGCUGCCACAGUAAGGAGACACCUGUGCAUGUUCGAGGACAUGGAACAUGAUUUCUUUGACAUUGUAAUAAGAAGAUUCAAACAAUAUGACGAGGAAAGGACAAAAGAACCUCACUCUUCCAUUGUGAAACACUUUAUGGAAUCAGACGUUGCGACAUGCAUAAUGGCUCAGCAUUCAACAUCAGCGUAUUUAGCAGUAAGGGAACAGUUCAUCGGACCACAUGUAAAACACGACCUGCCGAAUUGCAACUUGAUGCUACUUCCAGGGAAGGUCAAUUUCACAUGGGUGUGCUACGCUUUUGAAUUUAACAAGUCAAGGAUAACUGUAUUUGACCCAACAAUAUCCAUG